UACGAGGGGUGCAAGCGUUGCUCGGAAUUAUUGGGCGUAAAGAGCUCGUAGGCGGCCUGUUGCGUCCGCUGUGAAAGCCCGGGGCUUAACCCCGGGUCGGCAGUGGAUACGGGCAGGCUAGAGGUAGGUAGGGGAGAAUGGAAUUCCCGGUGUAGCGGUGAAAUGCGCAGAUAUCGGGAGGAACACCGGUGGCGAAGGCGGUUCUCUGGGCCUUACCUGACGCUGAGGAGCGAAAGCGUGGGGAGCGAACAGG
rnacentral:rRNA from 1 species